GUGCCAGCAGCCGCGGUAAUACGGAGGAUCCGAGCGUUAUCCGGAAUCAUUGGGUUUAAAGGGUCCGUAGGCGGGCCAUUAAGUCAGGGGUGAAAGUCUGCGGCUCAACCGUAGAAUUGCCCUUGAUACUGGUGGUCUUGAGUUAUGGUGAAGUAACUAGAAUAUGUAGUGUAGCGGUGAAAUGCAUAGAUAUUACAUAGAAUACCGAUUGCGAAGGCAGGUUACUAACCAUAUACUGACGCUGAUGGACGAAAGCGUGGGGAGCGAACAGGAUUAGAUACCCUGGUAGUCCACGCCGUAAACGAUGGAUACUAGCUGUCCGGAUGCAAAUCUGGGCGGCCAAGCGAAAGUGAUAAGUAUCCCACCUGGGGAGUACGUCCGCAAGGAUGAAACUCAAAGGAAUUGACGG
rnacentral:rRNA from 1 species